rfam:Aspergillus ustus strain 3.3904 ATSC_33, whole genome shotgun sequence.
GGGGUGAUAGCUCAGUUGGGAGAGCGCGCGACUGAAGGCACACUUCAGUUCCUAAGCUAUCGCGAGGUCGCCGGUUCAAUCCCGGCUCACCCCA